CCAAUAGCGUAUAUUAAAGUUGUUGCAGUUAAAAAGCUCGUAGUUGAAUUUCGGGAUUGACGUGACGGUCAUGCCUUAAGGGGUAUGAACUGUUGCUGUUGAUUUCUCACCUUCUGGAGAAACUUGAUGUCCUUUAUUGGGUGUCUUGCGGAUCCAGGACCUUUACCUUGAAAAAAUUAGAGUGUUUAAAGCAGGCAUUUUUGCUCGAAUACAUUAGCAUGGAAUAAUAGAAUAGGAAGGCAUGGUUCUAUUUUGUUGGUUUCUAGGAGCACCGUAAUGAUUAAUAGUGAUAGUUGGGGGCAUUAGUAUUCAAUUGUCAGAGGUGAAAUUCUUGGAUUUAUUGAAGACUAACUACUGCGAAAGCAUUUGCCAAGGAUGUUUUCAUUAAUCAAGAACGAAAGUUAGGGGAUCGAAGACGAUCAGAUACCGUCGUAGUCUUAACCAUAAACUAUGCCGACUAGGAAUCAGACGAUGUUAAUUUUUUAAUGACUCGUUUGGCACCUUACG
rnacentral:misc_RNA from 1 species